AUGGCGAUUCAUGAAUCAGCACCAGGAGGAAGAGCCCAUCCUUGUCUGCUCUGCAGGGCCACGAAGACCAGCAGGAUAUGAAACAACACUUCCACUACCUUUCCUCCAAGCCACUACAUCAGAAGUAUUAAUGAAGAUGGAAAAACUGAAGGCCUCCCCUGGCAGAAGCUACCUUUUCUUUGUAAUAUGGACAAAAGUCAAAUAUAUUCUGGAUAUGAAAUCUGCUAUGGAAUCUUCUAAGCACUGAGGGUAGGAAAAAAAACACAACAGUCUUCCAGCAUUCAGCUCUACUGCUGUUGGGAACCACAUCCAGGAUGGCAACGAGCCGUGGUGUCAGCUUGGAGCAGAAGAAUCCAGGCAGGAGGAGGAGAGGGCUUCUGGCUCCAACAGUGUGAUGCUGACACAUGAGACUUCAAUUUCAAGGGAGGAACUGGAGCAAAAAACAUUGCCAAAUCUGGUUCCAUAAUGGUCUGGAUUCUGCUUGCUGUGCCUGGUGUCAUAGUUGUGGUCCUGGUAGAAACGACAGCUGGUGCUCCUAAGUCAAGAGCAAGAUAGGGAGGUGGUGGAGCUGCAAUAAAAACAGAGAAAAGCAGAGACCCCUGAUGUGAGGAUAUUUCCUCUCUUCCUCUUUCCCUGACUGAGAAGAAACAGUAAAGCGAGUAAAGCUUUUAUUUAUUUAUUUUUUCCAGUUAUUAUUAUGAUUUUUUUUAAAGCAGUUCUGUAGUCAUGAAUUGCAAAAAACAUCUUGAUGUGCACAAAGACUUACAGGUAGCACAUCCUCAUGCUCCUCAAGGACCUCAGUGCUGGGUCUCUGUACCAGGGCAUCCCAGAACUGCCUGAUUAAACGACUCACAGGCUGCAGGAGGUAAUUUGCUCUGGGAGCUGGGAGAAGAGCAAUCCGUACAGCACCCUCAGAGCAAAGCAACACAAAGAACAACUAUUGCGGAGAGUAAUUACUGCCCUGUAAUCCUCCAGGCUUGCAUUGCUGCAUCGCUGUGCCAUGAGAGCCAUAAGAAUUCAGAUGCUCUCCUAUUCCCUUUGCCGUUGUCUGAAGUGGAGGGGAAGGUUGUUUUCAUUUGAAGAUGAUCACUUACCCUCUAUUUACUGUGAAGGAUGGGGACGAGGGACUCAGGCUCCCAAAGCUUUUCACAGUUGGAUUUGUUGCCUAAUUAUUCAGAGAAGAGCUCCUCCUGGCAUCGGGGCUGUGUCCUCUGCAGCCGAGCUGAGGGACUCCUGCCCUUGUAGAAGGUCUCUGGAAGUGAUCUCUCUCGGUGGAUAACACUGCAGCCCUCAGGCCUGUUUCACUUGGUUUGUUUAUUUAUUUUUAAUGGAUUCACAUGAAGGAAGAAGCGCAUCUCCCGUAUUGUCUUUUGAAGGCAGAUAAUUGUGUUGCUGUUGCAUUCAUAAUCGGCUUGUCAUGCCCAAAUGAAUUUACUUAUAUCUGUCUUUCCCCUAAAAAAGCAGCCCUGCCGAGUUCUCCCAGUGGUUCCAUCAGCC
rnacentral:lncRNA from 7 species